GACGAACGCUGGCGGCGUGCUUAACACAUGCAAGUCGAACGGAAAGGCCCUGCUUUUGUGGGGUGCUCGAGUGGCGAACGGGUGAGUAACACGUGAGUAACCUGCCCUUUACUUUGGGAUAACUUCAGGAAACUGGGGCUAAUACCGGAUAGGAGCUCCUGCUGCAUGGUGGGGGUUGGAAAGUUUCGGCGGUUGGGGAUGGACUCGCGGCUUAUCAGCUUGUUUGUGGGGUAGUGGCUUACCAAGGCUUUGACGGGUAGCCGGCCUGAGAGGGUGACCGGACACAUUGGGACUGAGAUACGGCACAGACUCCUACGGGAGGCAGCAGUGGGGAAUAUUGCACAAUGGGCGGAAGCCUGAUGCAGAAACGCCGCGUGCGGGAUGACGGCCUUCGGGUUGUAAACCGCUUUCGCCUGUGACGAAGCGUGAGUGACGGUAAUGGGUAAAGAAGCACCGGCUAACUACGUG
rnacentral:rRNA from 1 species